rnacentral:lncRNA from 1 species
CUGGCACCAGACUUUCCCUCCAAUGGAUCCUCGUUAAGGGAUUAGAUUGUACUCAUUCCAAUUACCAGACUCAUAAAGCCCGGUACUGUUAUUUAUUGUCACUACCUCCCCGUGUCAGGAUUGGGUAAUUUGCGCGCCUGCUGCCUUCCUUGGAUGUGGUAGCCGUUUCUCAGGCUCCCUCUCCGGAAUCGAACCCUAAUUCUCUGUCACCCGUCACCACCAUGGUAGGCCACUAUCCUAUCGAAAGUUGAUAGGGCAGAAAUUUGAAUGAUGCAUUGCUGGCACGAUGUCCGUGCGAUCCGUCGAGUUAUCAUGAAUCAUCGCAGCAACGGGCAGAGCCCGCGUCAACCUUUUAUCUAAUAAAUGCAUCCCUUCUAGAAGUUGGGGUUUGUUGCACGUAUUAGCUCUAGAAUUACUACGGUUAUCCGAGUAGUAGAUACCAUCAAACAAACUAAAACUGUUUUAAUGAGCCAUUCGUAGUUUCACAGUCUGAAUUUGUUCAUACUCAAACAUGCAUGGCUUAAUCUUUGAGACAAGCAUAUGACUACUGGCAGGAUCAACCAGGUAGUAUUCCUCAUUGACGUCGGCAUCGCAUGAGCGUGGCCGACCCAAAAGGGCACAGCCAAGUCUAAGGCGAGGACGACCGUCAUUCGUAAGGAGAAUUCUUUGGGCAGAUAGAAGCCAAUGAAGGCCCCGUGCCCAUUGCGUUUACCGAAUAUGAGAGCCCGAGCAUGCUAAGUUAUGGACCAAGCCAUCGUAAGGCGAAGCCAGGACGACCUGGGAUACAACUGCAGCUUUUGGUUCACCCCGCACGUCGAACGCGAGGGGCGAAAGGCGACCGAUUGUGCUUGAUAAUGCCUUGGCUUUAGGUAUGCAACACAGAAAACCGACGUCAAACAAGCCUAAUUUGCUCUUGUGACAUGACUGAUAUGGCAUGCGAGCUAGGACGUCGCUGCUCGAGCAGGGAUCCAACCUAGACACAUAAGCCAAACACCACUCAUGUGCCGCACGUACACUUGCCUCGCCGAUACAAAGCCAACACUAGACCCUACACGUGACACACAGCGAUGUGUUGUUGCCGAUGUAAACAUUGCAAAGCCAAGACAAGCCUCGCAAAGCACGAAUAGGGGGUCUGAACAAUGCCAGACACAACCCACAACAACCGAUGGCAAACGGCAACUUACUAAGCUUCGCCUCGUGCGCACGGCACCUUGCGGCACUACUUGCAAGAUGCUAUGCCAUUUUGUUGCUAAAAGCCAUUAGCCGCCAGGAGUGAUGUCGCCUCCCGAUGAUGCCCGCAACAACCGAUGGCAAUCGGCAACUUACUAAGCUUCGCCUCGUGCGCCCGGCACCUUGCGGCACUACUUGCAAGAUGCUAUGCCAUUUUGUUGCCAAAAGCCAUUAGCCGCUAGGAGUGAUGUCGCCUCCCGAUGAUGCCCGCAACAAGACAAAUGAUGGAAAUCGGCAACUUACUAAGCUUCGCCCCAUGCGCACGACACCUUGCGGCGCUACUUGCACGAUGCUUUGCCAUUUUGUUUCCAAAAGCCAUCAGCCGCCAUGAGCGAAGUCGCCUCCCGAUGUUGCCCGCAACAACCGAUGGCAAUCAGCAACUUACUAAGCUUCGCCCCGUGCGCACGACACCUUGCGGCUCUACUUGCACGAUGCAUCGCCAUUUUGUUGCCAAAAGCCAUCAGCCGCCACGAGCGAUUUCGCCUACCAAUGUUGCCCGCAACAACCGAUUGCAAUCAGCAACUUACUAAGCUUCGCCCCGUGCGCAGGGCACCUUGCGGCGCUAAUUGUAUGAUGCUUUGCCAUUUUGUUUUCAAAAGCCAUCAACUGCCACGAGCGAUGUCGACUCCCGAUGUUUCCCGCAACAACCGAUGCCAUUGAACGCUACUGAGCUUCGCCCCGUGUGCACGGCACCUUGCGGCGCUACUUGCACGAUGCUCCACCGUUCGUUUUCAAAAGACAUAAGAUGCCACGGAGACACAACCCACAACAAUCGAUGGCAAUAGGCAACUUACUAAGCAUCGCCCCAUGCGCCCGGCACCUUGCGGCGCUACUUGCACGACGCUGCGCCGUUCCAUUACCGAAAGCCAUCAACCGCCAUGAGCGAUGUUGCCCGCGACAACCGAUGGCUAUCAAAAUCUACUGAGCUUUACCCAUGCACACGGCACCUUGCGACGCUACUUGCACGAGGCUCCACCGUUCAUUGUCGAAAGCCAUCCGCCGCCACGAGAGAUUCCAGACAUAACCCACAACAACCGAAGGCAAUCAACAACAACUUACUAAGCUUCGCCCCAUGCGCACAGCACCUUGCGGUGCUACUUGCACGACGCGUUGCCGUUCUGUUGUCAAAAGCCAUCUGCCGCCACGAGCGAUGUCGCCUCCUGAUUUUGCCCCCAACAUUCAAUGGCAAUCAACAAGUACUAAGCUUCACCCCAUGCGCACGGCACCUUGCGGCGCUACUUGCACGACGCUCCACCGUUCAUUGCCAAAAGCCAAUGUUUGCCACGAGCGGUGCCACCACCAGGCUUACUACGAGCCCACACGAGUACUUGCCGGCACGGUUUGGGAACAUCAAGGACGUAGCACGGACAAGCCGUGCAUGCACCCAAUGCCCACGCCCCAUGCCAGGGUUCCCUAUGCCUGCCCGCCCCUUCCUGGAAGCAAGCACCUGAGGUGCCUCUCAACACCUCUACCCCCUUAUAUAUGCUUAGGAAAAUAACCAAGUUUUAAGAGUAGACAUGUUUUGUCUAGAGAAUCAUAAUAGACAUGUACAACACCAAUUAGCACAAACCAAAGUACAACUUGGCUAAUAUAUUGACAAAUGACUUUUAGACAUUGUAAAUGAUAAUUUUUUACAAAAAAAUAAUAUUUGUUUUAUUUAAAACGAAAAAUACUUAUUAAAAUACUAAAAAAUAUGAAAAUUAUUAUAAAAAUAGAAAAAAUGAUGGAGAUAAAUUCCAAUACAACUUGUAAUAGUAUAAAAUAUAAAAAAGUAAAUAUUUUUUAUUAAAAAGUGACAUAAAAAUAAUUUAAAAUAACAAGAAAUGCAUAUAAAUUACUAAAACAUAUAUUAAAAAUAGGAAAAAUACAUAAUAUUAUUAUAAAAGCAUAUAGAUGACCAACCGCCAAUAAGCACGAGGCACCUCCAUUGUCGCAACCACAACAAGUGAUUCCGAUUUGAAUAAACAGCUGCCAACCACAGAGCGUCAAUCAACCGUCACGAGCCACCGCGACUUUCCACCACCGCCACCAACGACCACCAACAUCAUUGCGCUUGAUGUGUUGCCCAACCACAACAAAUGAUUAGGAUUUGAAGAAACUGCCGCCAACCACCAAGCGUCGGACGACUGUCGCGUGACGCUACCGCUCGAACAACCCCGACUUUCCACCGCCGCCGCCAACGACCACCAACAUCAUUGCUCUUGACAUGUUUCUAAGCAUUGGUUAGCAGUAGACGUGGUGCGACGUGGUGCGAUGUCGUGCCAUGGCCAUAUCCUGCCAUGUCCUGUGACGUCCUGACAAGUACCAUGGCCAUGUCCUGACACGUCCGGACACGUACCAUGGCCAUGUCCUGACACGUUCCAUGACCAUGUCCUGAUGCGUCCUGCGACGUCCCGACACGUACCAUGGCCAUGUCCUCACACGUGCCAUGACCAUGUCCUGACGCGUCCUGCGACGUCCUGACACGCACCAUGGCCAUGUCCUGACACGUUCCUUGACCAUAUCCUGCCAUGUCCUGCGACGUCCUGACACGUACCAUGGCCAUGUCCUGACACGUCCUGAAACGUACCAUGACCAUAUCCUGCCAUGUCUUGCGACGUACUAACACGUACCAUGGCCAUGUCCAGACGCGUCCUGACACGUGCCAUGGCCAUGUCCUGACACGUACCAUGGCCAUGUCCUGACACGUUCUGCGACAUCCUGACUAGUGCCAUGGCCACGCCUUGCCAUGUCCUGUGACAUCCCGACUCGUGCCAUGGCCACGCCCUUCCAUGUCCUGACGCGUCCUGACACAUGCUAUGGCCAUGUGAAUAUGCGUCCUGACACAUACCAUUGCCACGCCUUGCCAUGCCCUGCGACGUCAUGAGUCAUGACAUGGCCACGCCCUGCCAUGUUCUGCGACGUCCUGACUCGUGCCAUGGCCACGCCCUGCCAUGNNNNNNNNNNNNNNNNNNNNNNNNNNNNNNNNNNNNNNNNNNNNNNNNNNNNNNNNNNNNNNNNNNNNNNNNNNNNNNNNNNNNNNNNNNNNNNNNNNNNNNNNNNNNNNNNNNNNNNNNNNNNNNNNNNNNNNNNNNNNNNNNNNNNNNNNNNNNNNNNNNNNNNNNNNNNNNNNNNNNNNNNNNNNNNNNNNNNNNNNNNNNNNNNNNNNNNNNNNNNNNNNNNNNNNNNNNNNNCCAUGGCCAUGUCCUGACGCAUCCUGCGACGUCCUGACUCUUGCCAUGGCCACGCCUUGCCAUGUCCUGUGACGUCAUGAGUCAUGCCAUGUCCUGAUGUGUCCUGACAUGUACUGACACGUGCCACUGCCAUGUCCUGACGUGUCCUGACACGUGCCGCUGCCAUAUCCUGACGUGUCCUGACACGUGCCGCUGCCAUAUCCUGACCUGGGGUCGCGGUAGGAGCGCCUAAGCGCGAUAAGGGUCAGGGAGCCCAAACAUGCGAAGGGUUGGAGCAGUAACAUUACGAGAGUUGAGUUUCAACCACCACUUGUCGUGACGUCCGUCGUUGUGGACUCGCAUUUAGGCCAACGGCACGCUCGAGGAGCACGGGAGGCCAGUAUUCAUCCCAUGACAGCACCGCGACCAUGAGAAUGGGCGCGGUGUGCGUGGGCGAAGCGAUGCGUGACGCCCAGGAAGACGUGCCCUCGACCUAAUGGCUUCGGGCGCAACAUGCGCUCAAAGUCUCAAUGGUUCACGGGAUUCUGCAAUUCACACAAAGAAUCGCAUUUCGCUAAGUUCUUCAUCGAUGCCAGAGCCGAGAUAUCUAUUGCCGAGAAUCAUUUGUGAUUCAAAAGAAGCACAAGUCCCCUGCGCAUGCCGCUACUGGCAGGAUCAACCAGGUAGUAUUCCUCAUUGACGCCGGCGUCGCAUGAGCGUAGCCGACCCAAAAGGGCACGGCCAAGUCCAAGGCGAGCACGACCGUCAUUCGUAAGGAGCAUNNNNUGAUAUAGGAGGAAGCCGCACUGACGGAGGGCGAAGCAUCCCGGCCGCACUGCUCCCCAGUUUUUAAUCAAGUUCGCGGGUUGUUCUGCCUUGCAUGUUUCGACAAUGAUCCUUCCGCAGGUUCACCUACGGAAACCUUGUUACGACUUCUCCUUCCUCUAAAUGAUAAGGUUCAAUUGACUUCUCACGACGUCGCGGGCAGCGAAAUGCCCACGCCGCCGCGAUCCGAACAUUUCACUGGAUCAUUCAAUCGGUAGGAGCGAUGGGCGGUGUAUACAAAGGGCAGGACGUAGUCAACCCGAGCUGAUGACUCGUGCUUACUAGGAAUUCCUCGUUGAAGACAAACAAUUGCAAUGAUCUAUCCCCAUCAGGAUGUAAUUUCAAAGGUUACCCGGGCCUGUCGGCCAAGGCUGUUAACUCGUUGAAUUCAUCAGUGUACCACGCGUACGAACCAUAACAUCUAAGGGCAUCACAGACCUGUUAAUGCCUCAAACUUCCGCGGCCUAAAAGGCCGUAGUCCCUCUAAGAAGCUGGCCGCGAAGGGAUACCUCUGCAUAGCUAGUUAGCAGGUUGAGGUCUCGUUCAUUAACGAAAUUAACCAGACAAAUCGCUCCACCAACAUAGAACGACCAUGCACCACCACCCAUAGAAUCAAGAAAGAGCUCUUAGUCUGUCCAUCCUUACUAUGUUUGGACCUGGUAAGUUUUCCCUUGUUGAGUCAAAUUAAGCCGCAGGCUCCACUCCUGGUGGUGCCCUUCCAUCAAUUCCUUUAAGCUUCAGCCUUGCGACCAUACUCCCCCCGGAACCCAAAAACUUUGAUUUCUCAUAGCGGAGUCCUAAAAGCAACAUCUGCCGAUCCCUGGUCGGCAUCGUUUAUGGUUGAGGCUAGGACGGUAUCUGAUCGUCUUCAAGCCCCCAACUUUCGUUCUUGAUUAAUGAAUACAUCCUUGGCAAAAUUCUUUUGCAGUUGUUCGUCUUUCAUAAAUCAAAGAACACCUAUGACUAUGAAAUACGAACGCCCCCGACUGUCCAUGUUAAUCAGUACUCUGAUCCCGAAGGCCAAGGUAAUAGAAUGAAAUCCUAUAAUGUUAUCCCAUGCUAAUGUAUAUAGAGCGUAGGCUUUCUUUGAGCACUCUAAUUUCUUCAAAGUAACAGUGCCGGGGGCACCCCGGCCAAUUAAGGCUAGGAGCGCAUCGCCGACAGAAGGGACGAGUCUACCGGUGCACACCAAAGGCGGACCGGUCGGCCCAUCCCAAUGUCCAACUACGAGCUUUUUAACUGCAACAACUUAAACAUAUGCUAUUGGAGAUGAAAUUACCGCAGCUUCGAGCACCAGACUUGCCCUCCAAUGGAUCCUCGUUAAGGGAUUUAGAUUGUACUCAUUCCAAUUACCAGAUUCAUAAAGCCCGGUAUUGUUAUUUAUUGUCACUACCUCCAUGUGUCAGGAUUGGGUAAUUUGCGCGCCUACUGCCUUCCUUGGAUGUGGUAGCCGUUUCUCAGGCUCCCUCUCCGGAAUCGAACACUAAUUCUCCGUCAC